GAUCUGAACAAUAACGGCAAGUUCUUCGUCGAGGCUCCCGUGAGUCUCUGUGCCCCUGUGCUAAACAACCAGUCAAGAUCUUCUUCCUUUUGGGCGGGCUCGAGGACUGAAUUUGCUGCCAAAAGAAAGAGUUCAUUGGACCGCACUGGAGGAAGCCGCCCUGAACGCCACUUAUGGAGGUGUUUUGAUCCCGUGUAGUCUUUGUGGGUACUUUCUGGGUUUUGCCCACACUACAGAUGGAGAGAGCGGUUGUGUUAGCCAAUAGGCUCACACCCUGCCUGGAGGCUGAAAGGCCCAUUGGGCAGAAAGUUUUGAUUGACGUGGGUGCAAGCCAAUCAACACUUCCGAGGAAGGGCUCUGGAAAGUUCCCUCAACUGCUAAUUCCCCAGGAUGCACAGGACCUCAGCAUGGCUGAAGGCAUGUGCUGACCAGAAAGGGGCUGACAGCUGGGGACUAUGUGCUGACCACACUCCCUGCCUUGGAACAGAAAGGUGUUAAAAACCAAGGUCUGGGGACUUCCCUGGUGGCAUAGUGGUUAAGAAUCCACCUGCCAAUGCAGGGGACAUGGGUUCGAGCCCUGGUCUGGGAAGAUCCUACAUGCCGAGGAGCAACUAAGCCCAUGCACCACAACCACUGAGCCUGUGCUCUAAAGCCCACGAGCCGCAACUGCUGAGCCUGCGUGCCACAACUGCUGAAGCCCAUGUGCCUAGAGCCUGUGCUCAGCAACAAGAGAAGCGACCGCAAUGAGAAGCCCACUCACCGCAACAAAGAGUAGCCCCUGCUCGCCGCAACUAGAGAAAGCCCCGCAUGCAGCAACGAAGACCCAAAGCAGCCAAAAAUAAAUAAAUAAAUAAAAACCAAGGUCUGGGGACCUAAAGCGAGCAUCAAU